rnacentral:rRNA from 1 species
UACGAAGGGGGCUAGCGUUGCUCGGAUUGACUGGGCGUAAAGGGCGCGUAGGCGGUUCGUACAGUCAGACGUGAAAUUCCCGGGCUCAACCUGGGGGCUGCGUUUAAUACAUGUUCGCUUGAGUUCGGAAGAGGGUCGUGGAAUUCCCAGUGUAGAGGUGAAAUUCGUAGAUAUUGGGAAGAACACCGGUGGCGAAGGCGGCGACCUGGUCCGAUACUGACGCUGAGGCGCGAAAGCGUGGGGAGCAAACAGG